GCAAUAGUAGUUCAGGUAGGAUUCUCACUUUCCACGUGUGAAACCCGGGUUUGAUUCCCGGCUAAUGUA
rnacentral:tRNA from 1 species